rnacentral:rRNA from 1 species
UACCUAGCGGCAAUAGCGCGGUGGUCCCACCUGACCCCAUGCCGAACUCAGAAGUGAAACGCCGUAGCGCCGAUGGUAGUGUGGGGUCUCCCCAUGUGAGAGUAGGGAACUGCUAGGUUU